rnacentral:lncRNA from 1 species
GGUUUUUGAGUUUUCGGUUUUCGGUUUUUGGAAAUCAGGGGCUUCUGUUCGUUCUUUUGAAAAAAGCAACACAAAAACAAAAGAGAAAAAAAAGCUUUAUAGGGAAAACUAAAAGUCAAAAGAAAAGCUGUACAGCAAGUUGUCUCUUCUCGGCAAUCUUGUCAGCAACAACUGUAGAGAAGAGACAGAGAGGGAAGGGACGUGAAGGACAGGCCAGCAGAGGGAAAAAGCGGAACACUGUUCAUCU